AUAAUAAAUAUUGCAUUUAAGGACACCUUAAAUAAUAUCUAAUGACGUUUUAAAGCGUGGACAAGAAUAAUUCCGAUGCUUGUAAAAACAUCGAAUAAAGUGUCGUUAAGUAAAAUAAACAUAUCGGGAUAAAUAUACUGACGCUUUAAUAUUGCGUCGGAAAAUUUUUAUCAGCUUUUGAUAAAAAUAUAUUUUAUUGGUGACGUUUAAUUAUCGUGUCGGUAUAUGUCAAAUAUUGAAGACAUUAAAGUAAAGCGUCAUUUAAAAAGUACCGUUUAAAAUAUAUUU
rnacentral:lncRNA from 1 species